AUUGAACGCUGGCGGCAUGCCUUACACAUGCAAGUCGAACGGUAACAGGUUAAGCUGACGAGUGGCGAACGGGUGAGUAAUGUAUCGGAACGUGCCCAGUCGUGGGGGAUAACUGCUCGAAGGAGCAGCUAAUACCGCAUACGACCUGAGGGUGGAAGCGGGGGAUCGCAAGACCUCGCGCGAUUGGAGCGGCCGAUAUCAGAUUAGGUAGUUGGUGAGGUAAAGGCUCACCAAGCCGACGAUCUGUAGCUGGUCUGAGAGGACGACCAGCCACACUGGGACUGAGACACGGCCCAGACUCCUACGGGAGGCAGCAGUGGGGAAUUUUGGACAAUGGGCGCAAGCCUGAUCCAGCCAUGCCGCGUGCGGGAAGAAGGCCUUCGGGUUGUAAACCGCUUUUGUCAGGGAAGAAAAGGUUCUGGCUAAUACCUGGGACUCAUGACGGUACCUGAAGAAUAAGCACCGGCUAACUACGUGCCAGCAGCCGCCGUAA
rnacentral:rRNA from 1 species